AUGAAUUGUUUUUCAACUGAUCGGUUAUCCAUCAUCUAUACCAGCUACCACACACGAUCCCAUAGGAAUGAUUUCAUCGCCCUAAGAAGUAGAACACGCUAUCACCUACAGCCCUUUCCUCUGCCGGAACUUUUACAAAAUGAAAACGGGUGA
rnacentral:rRNA from 1 species